AGUGACAGCCAGCCGGGCCCGGUGGCGGAGAGGAAGUGCGGUCCGCGCCAAGCCCGUCCCCGCCGACGCCGGCUCCCCCGCGGCUCGGGUGACAGCGUCGCGGCCGCCGGACGCAGCGCGGGGCAGGCGCGGGCAGAGCCGAGCGCAGCGGAGGCUCCGGCGGAGGCGCGGGGAAAAUGGCUGAUGACUUUGGCUUCUUCUCGUCGUCGGAGAGCGGUGCCCCGGAGGCGGCGGAGGAGGACCCGGCGGCCGCCUUCCUGGCCCAGCAGGAGAGCGAGAUUGCAGGCAUAGAGAACGACGAGGGCUUCGGGGCACCUGCCGGCAGCCAUGCGGCCCCCGCGCAGCCGGGCCCCACGAGUGGGGCUGGUUCUGAGGACAUGGGGACCACAGUCAAUGGAGAUGUGUUUCAGCCCGUGCACCACCAGCGGGUCCAGCUACAAACCCAGUUGCCAAUACAGCCUAAGGACGAGCCUGCCCACAACUAUUCCAGUUCCAUUUGGCACAGCCAGGGGCAGGGACAGAAGGGCCCUGCAGGACUCCGCCUCCCCACCUCUGCACAGAUCCUCUCUCCUUUCCCCUAAUACUCCCAUCAUCCUCCUUUUAGCUUCUUAGAGGAAUCAGCAGCUCAGCUUAGCUUAGAUUUAGCUGAUCAAUCCCAAAGAAGGAUGUGGCUCAUCCUCUUGGCCAUCCCUGGAGUCGCAGCACACGCUUGGCUGGUGUGGGUCCACAGAGGUUCUCAUGGGUGGGCCCAGCAGAGGGGCCCCUCAGGAGAGGGAUUCUAGGGAGCUAGACUGAGACAAGCCUGGCCCUGACUGUCGCCUCCUGCCUUCUGGUCCUGGCCAUUCCUGCCCCUUUCUCUCUCCAGAGCUUGGGAGGAGUCAGAACAUUGCUCUAGCCGCUGGUGAUCUCUCCUGGUUGCCAACCCUCCUGGCCAUGACUGAUCUCCCCACUGAGAUGCUCAGGAGGCCAACGGUCCUGCUGAUGGCUACGCAGCCAUUGCCCAGGCUGACAGGCUGACCCAGGAGCCUGAGAGCAUCCGCAAGUGGCGAGAGGAGCAGAGGAAACGGCUGCAAGAGCUGGAUGCUGCAUCUAAGGUCACGGAACAGGAAUGGCGGGAGAAGGCCAAGAAGGACCUGGAGGAGUGGAACCAGCGCCAGAGUGAACAAGUAGAGAAGAACAAGAUCAACAACCGGAUCGCUGACAAAGCAUUCUACCAGCAGCCAGAUGCUGAUAUCAUCGGCUACGUGGCAUCCGAGGAGGCUUUCGUGAAGGAAUCCAAGGAGGAGACCCCAGGCACAGAGUGGGAGAAGGUGGCCCAGCUAUGUGACUUCAACCCCAAGAGCAGCAAGCAGUGCAAAGAUGUGUCCCGCCUGCGCUCGGUGCUCAUGUCCCUGAAGCAGACGCCACUGUCCCGCUAGGUGCCUGCUAGGUGCAUGGCCACAGAGCAUGGGCUGGGCCUGGGCACAGGAGGAGCAGCUGCUUUGGUCGGGGUGGAGACUCGCAGCAGCUGCUACCCACAGCCUAUUCCACUCCUCCCCAUCUCCAGGCGCUGGGAGGGGGGCCCUCACCCCAUCACGCCUCGCUCCCUCCUGGCCCUCUGGUCCAGCCCCUCACGCCUCCUCUCAGUCUACUCAAUUGUGACUGUCCCUCCUGAUGUAUUUUUUUUCUUGGCUUAAAGGGUGUGUUGUUGACUCUUUUUACACUUAUUUAUUAUCAUUCUCACUUCUCUGGAAGCCA